CCUGGAUCUGCUGGCAAAGCUUUGAAGAUAAGCGGGCGCUGUCAGAAGAGCAGAGAACUUCAGCACUGGCGGUCGGAGAGCUCCCAGCUUUCAAAGUGAUCUGCGGUGAAGCCAGAUUCUUCAGCAAGAACCCUAUAAGGCAGCCCACAGCUGAAACGAGUAAAGCGCUUCAGAACCGGGUUUCCGGACAGUUCUCAGUCCUUUAAGACUGCCCGAGCCCAGCUCUUUAGCCACCCACUGGGUUGCAGGAGAGAGUUAGCUGACCUUCGGUCAACAGAAGCAAGGGAGACCACAAUGCCCACCAGACCAUGCACCACAAAAACCAUGGGACAAGGACCAAUGCUAAAGAUCACACCAAGUGAGACGUGAGCAAUGCCUGCAUCCAGGAAUGGACAUGAUGACUGAAUUAAGAUCCCAUUUAGAUAAAUCACAAUUUCAAAAUAGAACCUUCUACAUCUCUUUUCAUCAUUGACUGGCUUUGCGACCCUGAGUAAGUAUUGGUUCUUUCCUCUCCCUAAGUAUCAAUUUUCUACUCUAUGAAAUGAGAACUAGACUCA
rnacentral:lncRNA from 1 species